UGAUUUAUUAAGUAUGUCACAUUCAUGUUUAGACCUUUAACCCUUUUUGACAUAUUUAAUCUAUUUAGAACUUAUUUAAAGUAUGCUUAACAUAUUUCUGAUUUGUUUAACCCAAUCCACUUAACCUAUUUAAUCUAUUGAAUCUAACUUGACUUAUUUAAUAAAUGGAUUAUUUGGAUUGGUGUAAAUUACUUUUUUAAUAUAUAGGUUGGGUUAAGAUCUAAAUUAUCAAUCUAU
rnacentral:lncRNA from 1 species